CCUACGGGUGGCAGCAGUGAGGAAUAUUGGUCAAUGGCCGGAAGGCUGAACCAGCCAUGCCGCGUGAAGGUCAGUGCCCUAUGGGCGUUAAACUUCUUUUGUGCGGGAGCAAUAAUGGUCACGUGUGGCCAGACGAGAGUACCGUGCGAAUAAGCAUCGGCUAACUCCGUGCCAGCAGCCGCGGUAAUACGCGGGAUGCAAGCGUUAUUCGGAUUUAUUGGGUUAAAAGGGUGCGUAGGCGGACUGGAAGGUCAGCGGUAAAUUCGAGAGGCUCAACCUCUUUCCGGCGUUGAAACUGUCGGUCUUGAGUGGGCGAGAAGUAUGCGGAAUGCGUGGUGUAGCGGUGAAAUGCAUAGAGAUCACGAAGAACUCCGAUUGCGAAGGCAGCAUACCGGCGCCCGACUGACGCUGAGGCACGAAAGCGUGGGUAGCGAACAGGAUUAGAUACCCGGGUAGUC
rnacentral:rRNA from 1 species